rnacentral:rRNA from 1 species
AUUGAACGCUGGCGGCAUGCCUUACACAUGCAAGUCGAACGGCAGCACGGGUGCUUGCACCUGGUGGCGAGUGGCGAACGGGUGAGUAAUACAUCGGAACGUACCUUAUCGUGGGGGAUAACGCAGCGAACGCUGUGCUAAUACCGCAUACGCCCGGAGGGGGAAAGCGGGGGAUCGAAAGACCUCGCGCCAUUAGAGCGGCCGAUGCCUGAUUAGCUUGUUGGUGGGGUAAAAGCCCACCAAGGCGACGAUCAGUAGCUGGUCUGAGAGGACGAUCAGCCACACUGGGACUGAGACACGGCCCAGACUCCUACGGGAGGCAGCAGUGGGGAAUUUUGGACAAUGGGGGCAACCCUGAUCCAGCAAUGCCGCGUGAGUGAAGAAGGCCUUCGGGUUGUAAAGCUCUUUUGUCAGGGAAGAAACACCGGCUCUAACACAGUCCGGGAAUGACGGUACCUGAAGAAUAAGCACCGGCUAACUACGUGCCAGCAGCCGCCGUAA